rnacentral:rRNA from 1 species
CCUACGGGAGGCAGCAGUGGGGAAUCUUGCACAAUGGAGGAAACUCUGAUGCAGCGAUGCCGCGUGAGUGAAGAAGGCCUUUGGGUUGUAAAGCUCUUUUGUAGGGGAAGAUAAUGACUGUACCCUAAGAAUAAGGUCCGGCUAACUUCGUGCCAGCAGCCGCGGUAAUACGAAGGGACCUAGCGUAGUUCGGAAUUACUGGGCGUAAAGCGCGCGUAGGCCGUUGAGUUAGUUAAUUGUGAAAUCCCAAAGCUUAACUUUGGAACUGCAAUUAAAACUGCUCGACUAGAGUUUGAUAGAGGAAAGCGGAAUACAUAGUGUAGAGGUGAAAUUCGUAGAUAUUAUGUAGAACACCAGUUGCGAAGGCGGCUUUCUGGAUCAACACUGACGCUGAGGCGCGAAAGUAUGGGUAGCAAAGAGGAUUAGAUACCCUCGUAGUCCAUACCAUAAACGAUGAUUGCUAGAUGUUGGAAAUUUAUUUUCAGUAUCGCAGCUAACGCAUUAAGCAAUCCGCCUGGGGAGUACGACCGCAAGGUUAAAACUCAAAUGAAUUGACCGGNUUGAGAGUUGCGACGGCGACGACGAGGGAGGAGG